GCGAAAAUGGCCCUGGGAUCGGCUGGUCACAUGACACCCAGAAUUUCUGGGUGUUUUGAUUUGAUAAUUUAUGCGAAAUUAAAUUUUUGUUGUUUGUUUACAAAUAAUCGAAUUAGUAUUAUUUGUAAACAAACAACAAAACUUUAAUUUCGCAUAAAUUAUCAAAGCAAAAACACCCAGAGAUUAUGGGUGUCAUUCUGGGUGUCAUGUGACCAGCCGAUCCCAGGGCCAUUUUCGC